GAUGAAGAACGUAGCGAAAUGCGAUAAGUAAUGUGAAUUGCAGAAUUCAGUGAAUCAUCGAAUCUUUGAACGCACAUUGCGCCCGCCAGUAUUCUGGCGGGCAUGCCUGUUCGAGCGUCAUUUCAACCAUCAAGCCCCAGGCUUGUGUUGGGGACCUGCGGCUGCCGCAGGCCCUGAAAACCAGUGGCGGGCUCGCUGUCACACCGGGCGUAGUAGAUUUUAUCUCGCUCAGGGCGUGCUGCGGGUUCCAGCCGUUAAAAAGCCUUUUUUACCCAAGGUUGACCUCGGAUCAGGUAGGAAGACCCGCUGAACUUAAGCAUAUCAAUAAGCGGAGGA
rnacentral:misc_RNA from 1 species